UCAACUGCAGGUGCUUCCUCAGCCUGACAAAGGAUUUUUCAACCUGAAACCUUGCUAAGAUAUACUUCUCUAACUAUUCAGUUUGGGUUUUUUUAAUAAUAAACAUAUAACCACAGAAACACAACAUAAUUCAUCACACACCACAAGUAACACAUUAUUUAUAUAUCCAACUCAACAUCUGUACUUCUUCCAUUCAAUUAUUUUAUAAAAAGAAAGGCUCUGUCACAGUUUGGCUGCCUGAGAUACUACUGGUGCUACUGCUCACUAAGUCAACAUUUGCGCCGCCGUUCACAUAAGGCGGGCGCGCGGUAGCGGCCUCCAACAACUGAGAGUAGUAGACUCAGCUCCGCGGACAUGGUGCAGAUGCGGAGCUCAUCUGCUAGGAGCCCCACCCCAGCAGUGCCACCUGCUGUGGGCUCUUCUGAGGCCUCCACCCAGACAGAGCUCCUGGUAGGGUCGGCAGACCCUUGUCCCCUGUCUGUGGGGGAGGCUUGGUGGGGUCCUGGCAGCCAGUGGGAGGCCCAACUUAGGGCUCUGGAGGAGCAGGUACGGGAGCUCCAGGCUUAGGUGAGCAGGCUGUGGAGGAUCAGGGCUGCAGAGAAUGAAAUUGACUCAUUGUGAUAGGUGGCCACUCUUGGCUGACCCAAAUGUGGCCCGCACGCCUGUUCCUGGGGCAACCGCCCGCCUACUCGUCUGCCACGCCUUGUUCUUAAUUGAUUAACUGGUGUUAAUUAGCAGGAGGCUGCCCUUGUACUGCCCCACUGCCAGGGGGCACUAUCUGCGGCUCCGUUUCCUCCCCUACACCGCAGUCCACACCUUGCCAAUGUUGACUCAGGUCUAUCACUAUUUUGGCCCCUUCCUGUUUUCUCUGGGCCUUCCUUCCUUGGAUGCACUCCCUGCGGUGCUAGGGCUCUCCCCUGCCCUAUCUCACUCUGUGCCCUCUUCUCCGGGGCCUUAUCUACAAUGCUGCCCCUGCUCUGGGGCCUUCUCAGUGAUGCUAUGCCCUCUCCUGGGGCUCACCAUGCCCGCCCUGGAGAUUCCCAAUAAUGCUGCCCUCUCCUGGGGCUCUCCUUGCCCACACUGGGGCUCCUUAAUAACGCUGCCCCUGUCUGGGGCUCACCGUGCCCAUAUUGGGGCUCCUUAACAAUGCUGCCCCCUAUCUGGGGCUCUCUGUGCCCACACUGGGGCUCCUUAACAAUGCUGCCCCCUAUCUGGGGCUCAACAUGCCCAACUUGGGCUGCCCAGUAAGGCUGCCCCCUAUCUGGGGUUCACCACGCCCACACUGGGGCUUCUCAAAUGCUCCUCUCUGGGCUGGGGUCUAUGUACCCCAUAUGCUGCACCCUUACUGGCACUGGGGUCCCCACGCUACUGUGGGUUCCCUAUGAGGCCUCCUUCAACCCCUAAUAGCCUCACCCAAACCACCGGUGUAACAAUAAAAUGAAACAGAAACUCGAGCCUCUUGGCUAUAACCUAAACAUAAGCUGCCUGGCUAUAACAACAUUGCUCAAGCAGCUUAGAGCUGCCAUAAGCUGUACCUGCAGUCAGGCUUCUUCCUGCACCCUGGCUUAAGGAGCUCCUGCCUCUCUGACUGCUGGCAGGGAACUGCCUCUGGCCUCCUGUCUGUGCUUUAUAUAGGAGCCAGGCCCUGCCCCUUUCAGUCAGCUGACCUCCUGGUUGCCCUGGCAACCCACAGCUGGGCUCCUUAUUCCCUGCUAGGGCUCUUUCCCUGGCAGUUUCCCCUCUCUAGGAGCAGGGCACCUCCGGGCUCUGUGAUACUCAUAUUUCUGUUCACUGCAGGACCAGUCAUCCAGGAGACAAGUUCAACACAGGAGUGGCAGAAAGUAUCCACCAGAUCCAGGCCUGCUCAAGCUAGCGUGGUGGAGGCUCCCCAGAUACAACUGAGGAACAGGUACGAGGCCCUAGAGAAGGAUGAAGGGGAUGCCUCCAGCGGGGACGAUGCCACUCUACGUACAACACAGAUGGCACAUAGAGGGAACAUCAGGAGAAGGAAACACUGGGUCCUCAUCAUUGGGGACUCCAUCCUAAGGGGAGUGGAGGGUCCCAUCUGCCAACCCGACCCCAUGGCAUGAGAAGUCUGCUUCAUGCCUGGGGCUCAGAUUCGAGACAUCACAGAGAGGAUCCCAGCCUACAUUCGACCCUCAGACGAGUACCCUAUGGUUCUUAUCCACAUGGGAACAAAUGAUGCGGCCAGUGGCAACCCAGACUGCAUCAUGAAGGACUUUGAGGCCCUGGGGGACAAGCUCAAGGAGAUGGGGGCACAGGUGGUAUUCUCCUCGAUUCUCCCGGUUGGCUGAUCUCAUGCAGCGCACUUUAAAGUAGCUUCAUCGGGGGAUGGGGUCACAGGAAGACGUGAGGACACCUCCCAACCAAGACAGGUGACAUACACAAGGAGUACCCAGAUGCAUCACAAGCAGGGCCAAGGAGGUGAUCCUCCCCCUCUAUGCUACACUGGUCAGGCCACAGCUGGAGUACUGCAUCCAGUUCUGGGCACCACACUUCAGGAGGGAUGUGGACAGCAUUGAGAGGGUCCAAAGGAGAGCCACUUGUAUGAUCCAGGGACAGCAGGGCAGACCCUAUGAGGAGCGGCUACGGGACCUUAACCUGUUCAGCCUUCACAAGAGAAGGCUGAGGGGGGACCUGGUGGCCAUCUAUAAACUUACUAGGGGGGACCAGUGAGGUUUGGGAGAGACCUUGUUCCCCUGAGCGCCUCCCAGAGUAACAAGGAAUAAUGGCCAUAAGUUCCUAGAGAGUAGGUUUAGACUGGACAUUAGAAGGCACUACUUCACAGUUAGGGUGGCUAGGAUCUGGAAUCAACUUCCAAGGGAAGUAGUGAUGGCUCCUACUCUAGGGGUCUUUAAGAGGAGGCUCGAUGUUUACUUGGCUGGGGUCAUUUGAGCUCAGUUUUCUCUCCUGCCCACAGCAGGGGUUUGGUCUAGAAGAUCUACAAGGUCCCUUUCGACCCUACAUCUAUGAAUCUAUUAAUCUAUUUUACUUGCUGUCAUCUAAAGUGGUGGACCGGAAUGAGGCUGUAGGGGAGGAGGAGACUGCAUUGGGGCACACUACCGUGUCGUGUAGGUGCCCCAGUACCAGUGAGGGUGCGCCUACACACACACACACACACACACACACAGAGUGAGGCUGUGCCUUAAUAUGCACACUGAAGAAGCAGCUCCUGCAGGACAGGAAAGAAAGCUUCUGUCAUAGUUUGGCUGCCUAAGAUGCUGCUGGUGCUACUGUGCUAGUGCACACUGCUCACUAUGUCAUUUUUUACCUGUUGUCAUCUAAAGUGGUGGACCAGACUGAGGUGGUAGGGGAGGAGGAGACCUCAUUGGGGCACACUACUUUGUCGUGUAAAGGCCCAAGCACCAGUGAGGACAUACCUUAACACGGACACAGUCACCCAUGUCAGGAGUUUUGCCUGUCAGCAACCUGAGGUGCAGUUUCCCUGAACCCCCUGCACCUAUCUCCUUGAAAGCUGGCAAGCUUUGUGGCCCCAGCAGGGACUACCACCCUGGUAGUUUUUAUCCCCCUGUGCCUUCACACAUACAAGUGACAUGAGUUUUGCUUUCAAGAAUUUGAAGUGCAGUUUCCCAGAACACCCUGCACCUAUCUCCUUGAAACUUGACAGGCUUCAUGGCCUCAGAAGGGGCUACCAUCUCUGUAAGCUGCAUCUGAAUCAGGCAAUAAAUGUCAAAGGUAUAAGCAGUUUUGUGCUUCCCCAUUAUAGCCUGUAGGUGAAACGUUGAAACAGCAUUGAAACAGUGUAACAGUUUUGAUUAAAUGAAAUGGAACAGUGGUAUGGAAACUAAAUGAAACUCAAAAUGAAACACUAUUCCAUCGAAAUGUCAAAAGGGAAGUUGAAACAGAAUGGUGCCAUUUCGCACAGCCCUACGAGAUAGUCCCCAGUAACCCUGGUUUCUGAUUGGGACUAUUGAAAAGUCUCAAUUUGCCAUGUGGAUCUUGGGGCCACCCCUGUCAGGUGGCCGAUGGCGGUUCCAGCAUCUGGCUGGUGGCCGGACAGAUGCCGUUCAUAGACAAAAAAAUUCUUCGGGGGCCGCCACUCUUACAAUUGGGCGGCUGGGCUCCCGAAAUUUACCAAAAAGAUUGCGGGGGACAACCAAAAGAAAAACAGGGUGUGCACGUGGGGGUCAAAGGUUCAAAACAAGUGCUCCCCCGGCGGUCAGUGAGCAGAGCACCCCGGACAGUGCCCACUGGCUCACAACUGGUUUCUGAUUGGGACUGGCCAGUACAUAACUACUUCCAGCUGGCCCAGUUGUCUAUAUGGGUAUGGCUGCAUACUUGUAAGCAGAAGCUUUUUCCACGCCCAUCAGGCUACCAGAACAGAUUCCUCCCUGUGAAGACCUGGGCUCCUGCCUGGAGCCCUCUAUUCCAUAAUUGUGGGUUCCUGACCUCCACCUUCCUCUUGACUUUAAUCCAGACCCCUGACUUCUGCUUUCUGGCUUAUGGCUUUACUUUGCCUCAGGGAGGGCCACCCUUAACUGUGGCCUAUAGGAAUUUUUUUCCAUUCCCUACCCUAGGCUUUGGAUCAAGGCCUUAAUGACUAGGUCUCAGAAAUGCCACUUUCAAAUUACAGUAAUGCAUAUCUGUUCUUAAUACAGAGAAUGUUUUUCACUAAGCAAGUGUUUCUAGACACAAAAUAAACAGCUUCCCCCUAACAGGUUUAUUGCCAAAAAUACCUUUUCUUCUUGGUGUGACAGCUGAAAAGUGUGCCUGUGUGAUAAAGGUGCUUGCUGAAGGCCCUAUGAAGUUUAGACCAAGUGUUUUUCUGUAUUUGUUUAGAUAUUAAGCUGUAUGUUGUUGCUAAAAGCCUAAUUAAAGUUUAAGAUGUAGUGAGGCCUUGUAUAAAGUAAGGCCUAGUAAAUUUAACAAGCCUUGAAGUAGAAAGGCCCUGUGGCGUACUUAAAUUACCUUAUCAAAAAAAUGCAAAGCUUGUACUGCUAUUGGUCAGUCUAAAGACAGUUGAAGUAAAAGGAAUCUGAGUAGUUGUACGUUAUCAGAACCAUUCAAAAAUUUUAAAUUAGCUGAAAUAUCUGGAAACCAUUCAGAAGCAAGAUACAGCUCUGUAAAAAAAAUUAGUUAGCUGUUGCCUGGAUCAGCGGGCCCGUGGACCUUGAAGAGCCCAAGGACUACAUUCCAGGGUCCUUCCCAGUACCUCUCGGACAACGUUGUUCAGGGAUGCCUGACUGCUAAACUUUAUAAAAAGAGAAGCUUGCCGUGUAUCAGGCAUCAGAGGGGACUGCUGCUAAGUUGCCAACGCGAAUUGCUUUUGUCUGUCAUUGUUUGUUUUGUUACUACGUGUAGUGUUUUUGUUAAGUAAAUAAAUAUUUCUUACCUUUCUACCCCCAACCAUACUCUCAAUCCCGAACCCUCCGCAGGUAGCUGGAACAUAAAUUGGCAUCACGAACAGGAUUGAGAGGCUCUGGUCUGGAGAGAAAGGUCUGAAUGAAGGGAGUUGUGCGGGCACCGUUAGUGGCUUUGCUUAAGGAAGUGACAGGGAUGAAGAAUCCUGGGUGGGAUAAGGAUAGGUUGAGACCUGCCUGGAGUGACCCAGAAACUGUACCCAAUCAUUGCGCUAGGUUUGCUACUGCUGCCCAGGGUAAGCCUAAGAAGGGGUGCCUGUCGUGGCUGCUGGCAACAUGCCUGCGGUUAGGGGCAGAAGAGGAUGCCCAGCUCCAGGAAGAGGUCACCUGACUGAGUAAGGAGUUAAAAGACAUGAGAAAUUCCAACAGCGUGGUGUGCAAGGCUGUGCGAGCUAUGCAGAGCUGCUUGGAAACAUUAAAAUGGAAGACAAAAAAAAUUAUAAUCCUGCGUGUGGCCGCUCCCCUCCAGAAGAGAGUGAAGUUAGGGCAGUCUGUGAAGCGAUCCUUCCACAAGUGUCUGUAUAGAGAUAAACCAGAAGUUAAGCUCUGGGAAAAUCAAAGAGAUAAAAUCAAUAGAAAGGUGGAGAUUUAUGAUGAGCCUGGCGCUAAAACACCCCCACAUGUUCCUGCCCAGAGGGAGGAACCUAGCCAAGCCUUCCCCGCCCCUAGGGAGAAACUCAACCAAGUUUUUCCCAUAGUGAUAACUCAUUCAAGACCACAAAGAGAGAAUCCCCGAACAGAGCUACAUUCCUUUACCCAUGCAGAAAUUAAAAAUAUUCAAAAGCAGCAUGAAUUCAAACCAGAAAAGCCAGUAAUAGACUGGCUAGUUCAAAUGUAUAGUAAAAAAGCAUUUGCAAUUUCAGUGAAUAGAGCCGAAGCUACAAAAAUCAUUCUGUGCCCUGAGCUCCAGUUAAAUCAGUUUGCAGAAAGUGAUGAAAAUGUUACUUUGUUUUCUGCUGCGCUCCAAGCCACUGCAGCCACUUAUAGUAAUAUCAUUCAUGCAGCAGUUUAGACUCACACGCCAGAUGCAAAAGUAGUGACAGCACCGUUGUGGAGGUUUUGCCGACAAGCACCAACAGAGUGCACCUCAACCUUGUUGACCUUGAAGCCAGAGGCAGUGAAUCACCCGGUAAAAGAUGUGAUCCAGCAAUUAGUGCAGCUUUUACCCAUUUUGCAGAAACCAAGGCUUACCAAGCUGACAAAAACUGCCAAGGCCAUGGCAGUGGCCUCAGUAAAAGAUGACCCCCCUGACCCCCCCAAAUUGUUAAGAAAAGUGGAAAAAGACUGACCCAAGACUCCGGAACCACAAUGUAAAAAGACUUGUCAGCUGCCUGUUUCAAUAAAGUGCAAAUCAAUAGACUGCCCAUCAAUGUCUUGAGAGGGCUGAGGGCUAAACACUGUACCAAAAGGGCAAAACCAAAAGCAGAGCCUUUUGUGCCACCAACAGUGUCACCAAAAAGAUUCUCUGUCUUGAGAGCAAAACUGUCAACAUUUUCCCAAGCACAUGUGGGGCCAGCGGCCUUUACCCCGCCUGAUCACGUGGCCUAGGGAGUCCGGCCAGCCCAACCCCCCAAAAAAGAAGCCACAAUGGGGGCAAUAGCGGAUCAAGGACUGGUAUCUAAAGUUAAUGUUAAACCCUUAAUUCAGAUACCUGUACAAAUUCAAUUAAGUAAAAGUAAAAGGUCAAUAGAUAUGCUAUUAAACACGGGUACCCAGAUUUGCAUUUUAGAUUCCAUAAAUUGAAAGGGAGAAAAAGAAACCCCUUAUCAAGUAAUUAAAGUCAGAGAUACCAAACGACCGAGACAUCUGGUCCAAGUAACCUUCACGUUACCUAAAACUAAGGUAACAGCAGCCGCAGUAAUACUUAAAGGGAAACCAAGCUUACUAAAACUUAAUGUACUAAGAGGACAGCAGUUUGCCCUUAAACAAGAAAAUUGGCAGUUUAAGUGCAUAGUGCCUCACCAAAAACCAGAAAAAACAGCUAUAACAGCUGUAACUCGAUGUGGCAUGAUCCCACUAACCCUGCCUCUCAUGAAAAGAGUACACAGACUCCAAUAUCAAACUCCCCCUGAGGCCACACAACCUAUUCAGUGUAUUAUAAGCCAGCAGUUAAAAGAUGAGACUACUAUUCAAACCCACUCUCCGUAUAACAAUCCAGUGUAGCCAGUGCACAAGCCAAAUAGAGGGUGGCAAUUGAUUAUUAACUUUUAAGCUCUGAAUACUAAUACUAAUCCCUUGAUGACUGCCAUCCCAUCACUACCAGCCUAACAGAAAGCAUCCAGAGUUAUAAGCCUGCAUGGAUAAAAUCCAUUAAUAUCAAAGACAUGUUGUGACACUAUGUGUUUGUAGCUGUAAAAGUUGCCACAAAAAUAACAUUCACCUGUGCCUUAGCAAGAACUAUAGCUCAGGACACUUGUGCAAUACUGGAAACUCUGCUAGCUGUGUAACCACCACCUAUAAAACUACAAAAUAAUAAUAGCCCUCACUUCCGCAAUCAUCUUGUGUAUGACUAAACCAUGAAACAUAGCAUGUUCUAGACAUAUGACAGCCCAUACCAUCCGCAGUUUAAUAAAUUAGUAAAACAAGCCAAUGACAUCCUCAAAUGCAAUUUGCGGGUAGCCGCUGACCCGGCUCUUAAACACUGAGACUUGCACCUGAAUCGAGCUAUCAAUUGAGCCAAUAACCGACCCCAUCCAGGAGGUAGCCCCAUGCAACAGGCCUUUGGAUUGGGCAGUCCCUGGGAGCCGGCAGUAGAGCAACCUAGGGGUGGUGACCCAGGAAAGCUCCAGGCAGGAGAUCGAGUAGUAGUGAAGCAUCCUCAAGGAGAUAUAUGGGAGGGGACACUAUUAGCAAAAAAUAUGCAUAAUACAUAGUGAAUAUUUAAGUCAAAUUUAUCUAAAGGGAGCCAAGCUUCUUGUUGUCUUGUUCCUACAGAUUAAAUUUGUCCACAAGUGCAACCAUAGCCAUUUCUAAUUGAGCCUGCCACUAAAGACAAAUCCUGCUCUGUCACCAGUCUAAAUUGACUGGCACCAUGAAAUGGUAAACUGUUAUGAAUGCACUCUUUUUAUUAAUGCCUUAUUGUGUUUCCUGGGUAGGGUGUGUCUAUUAUCCUUCUUAUUACACAGAUAUUAAUGAACUUGCUCCUAAAGACCUCAGAGAGUAGCCUAACCCUGAAGACCAUCCCCCGGAAACACGUUCAGAUGGCCUUCACGUGGUCCAGCUGCAGUAUUCAUACUGGAAAAAAACCCACCACCCCGGAGCAAGUAAAGUCUUGGUCUCUGAGUAAAAGAAACAAAAUAGUUGACUAGCAAGGUGGUAACUGUCAGUGCACCUGUGGCACCAGUUAUUAUCUUGGGUUCAUUCCCUACCUGAAGGCUGGAAUGGCUAACUGUGGGAGGGAAAGUGAUUGUUGUAGCUCUGCUCGUUUAAAAAUUUGUUGUUACAUACUUCCUAAGGAGAACCCCAUUGAGCUCAACGCCCCUGAGUUUGUGUCCCCAAUAGUACAUUCUGCAUCUGUUCAGCCUCUCGAACCACUGCGCUUAUAAGAAAAUCUGCCCCCUCCCAUGCCUAUGGCUGACAACACUCUCCAUCAGUGGUAUAAAACCCACCAGGUGAGACAGCGCAUUACAAGUUAGAACAAAGUUAUUAAAUGGUUUGUGAAUCAUACCUAUACAGAAGCGUAGUAAAAUGGUACCACCUAAACUUUAUGCAAUUCGUGUUGCUUAAGAGCUAAAAGUGGAGCCGUUGCUCUACUGCAAUUAAGUAACUGUACUAUUGCCCUAAAAUAGCCAAAAAUUUCCUCUAAGACUAUAUCUCUCAACUUCACGAUACCUACUUCAUAGGUAUCAAAUGUAGACAUGCCACAGUUAAAAAACUAAAAUAAAGUGAAAAAUAAGCUGCAAAGCCUUGAGGCAAAAGCUCAGCAAGGCACUCAGGUCUCCUCGCUCGAGAGGGUGGUCGAAUCAUCAGUCUAGCUGUCAACGUGCCCAAGCCUUGUAAAUGGUAUGAUGUAAUCUAUACUAUUCGUGCGUCACCAAGUGUCACCUCAACUACGUGGCUAACCAUCUUAAACAUCAUAGUAUUUUGCAUUGCCCUAGUAACAACAGCUAAAUAGUGUUUUAAUCGUUGUUGUAAAUCUGUUCAUGCUAUGCAAGUUAAAUUUAUACAUCCCUCCCCAUUUCCCAAUGUAGCGCAUGUAGCUUUAGCAUCUCAGUUGUAGCUAUCAUAGUGCUUCAGCAAGGAAAGAAUGGAGUGUGACAGCUGAAAAGUAUGCCUGUGUGAUAAAGGUGCUUGCUGAAGGCCCUAUGAAGAUUAGACCAAGUGUUUUUCUGUAUUUGUUUAGAUAUUAAGCUAUAUGUUGUUGCUAAAAGCCUAAUUAAGAUGUAGUGAGGCCUUGUAUAAAGUAAGGCCUAGUAAAUUUAACAAAGCCUUAAAGUAGUAAGGCCCUGUGGUGUAGUUAAAAUUACCUUAUCAAAAAAAUGCAAAGCUUGUACUGCUAUUGGUCAGUCUAAAGACAGUUGAAGUAAAAGGAAUCUGAGUAGUUUUACAUUAUCAGAACCAUUCAAAAACUUUAAAUUAGCUGAAAUGUCUGGAAACCUUUCAGAAAAAAAAGAUACAGCUUUGUAAAAAAUAUUAGUUAGCUGUUGCCUAGAUCAGUAGACCCGUGGACCUCAAAGAGCCCAAGGACUACAUUCCAGGGUCCUUCCCAGUACCCCUCAGACAACAUUGUUCAUGGAUGCCUGACUUCACUAAACUUUAUAAAAAGAGAAGCUUGCUAUGUAUCAAGCAUCAGAGGAGACUGACGAUAACUUGCCAACAUGAAUUGCUUUUGUCUGUCGUUGUUUGUUUUGUUACUACGCGUAGUUGUGUUUUUGUUAAGUCAAUAAAUCUUUCUUACCUUUCUA